GGCAGAGGGGGCAAGCGUUGCUCGGAAUUACUGGGCGUAAAGGGCGCGUAGGCGGAAUGGCAAGUCGGUCGUGAAAUCCUUCGGCUCAACCGAAGAACGUCGAUCGAAACUGCCGUUCUUGAGGAUUGCAGAGGAGACUGGAAUUCCCGGUGUAGCGGUGAAAUGUGUAGAGAUCGGGAGGAACACCGGUGGCGAAGGCGGGUCUCUGGGCAAUUCCUGACGCUGAGGCGCGAAAGCGUGGGGAGCAAACGGG
rnacentral:rRNA from 1 species